rnacentral:rRNA from 1 species
CUACGGGGGGCUGCAGUAAGGAAUAUUGCGCAAUGGAGGCAACUCUGACGCAGCCAUGCCGCGUGCAGGAAGAAGGCCUUAUGGGUCGUAAACUGCUUUUAUUUACGAAUAAACCCCCGAACGUGUUCGGGGCUGAAGGUACUAAACGAAUAAGCACCGGCUAACUCCGUGCCAGCAGCCGCGGUAAUACGGAGGGUGCUAGCGUUAUCCGGAUUUAUUGGGUUUAAAGGGUGCGCAGGCGGGCUAUUAAGUCAGUGGUGAAAUCCCGGGGCUCAACUCCGGAACUGCCACUGAUACUGAUAGUCUUGAGUUUGGUUGAAGUGGGCGGAAUGUAGCAUGUAGCGGUGAAAUGCAUAGAUAUGCUACAGAACACCAAUCGCGAAGGCAGCUCACUAAGCCAAAACUGACGCUCAUGCACGAAAGCGUGGGGAUCAAACAGGAUUAGAUACCCCAGUAGUC